GGGACGGGUACUGCCGGUGGGUCAGGGUUCGGCCUCAAUAUGGCGGUUCCGGUCGGGCAGUGACCAAGGUUUUGCCGUCGGGAGGAUUAACUGGCGAUUGUCGGCGUUUCCACCUAUCGGGGUGUAAUGCGAGGACGCCGGGGCGAGCCCUGAGGAGCGGCGGUGCCGGGGAGGGAUCGGUGCUGUGUGGCCGGGAGCCGAGGGAGCGGCGUCUGUUCCUUCUGUGGGUCUCAAGGCUUCAGUGUGGGGCCCCGCCCGGCCGGGUUAGGCCGGCGGGCGGCGGCAGUAGCUGCUGCAGCCGCAGGAUCAGCCUCUGAGAGUGGGCCGGAGGGCGGGCGCCGCCGCGAUGGCCCAGUGUGUGCAAUCAGUGCAGGAGCUAAUCCCGGACUCCUUCGUCCCCUGUGUCGCCGCUCUGUGCAGCGACGAAGCCGAGCGGCUCACUCGUCUCAAUCACCUUAGCUUCGCGGAGUUGCUUAAGCCCUUCUCUCGCCUCACUUCGGAGGUUCAUAUGAGAGAUCCUAAUAAUCAGCUCCAUGUAAUAAAAAAUCUGAAGAUAGCAGUAAGCAACAUUAUCACCCAGCCACCUCAGCCUGGAGCCAUUCGGAAGCUUUUGAAUGAUGUUGUUUCUGGCAGUCAACCUGCGGAAGGAUUAGUAGCUAAUGUGAUUACAGCAGGAGAUUAUGACCUCAACAUCAGUGCUACUACUCCAUGGUUUGAAUCUUAUAGAGAGACCUUUCUUCAGUCGAUGCCAGCAUCAGAUCAUGAAUUUCUGAACCACUAUUUAGCAUGUAUGUUGGUAGCAUCAUCUAGUGAAGCUGAACCUGUGGAACAGUUUUCAAAGUUAUCACAAGAACAGCAUCGGAUUCAGCACAACAGUGACUAUUCCUACCCCAAGUGGUUUAUACCAAAUACACUUAAAUAUUAUGUACUUUUACAUGAUGUAAGUGCAGGAGAUGAACAGAGAGCUGAAUCAAUUUAUGAAGAAAUGAAACAGAAAUAUGGAACUCAGGGUUGCUAUUUACUUAAAAUUAAUUCUCGAACAUCUAAUCGAGCAUCAGAUGAACAGAUACCAGAUCCUUGGAGUCAGUAUCUCCAGAAAAAUAGUAUUCAAAACCAGGAAUCAUAUGAAGAUGGCCCUUGUACUAUAACUUCAAAUAAGAAUUCUGAUAGUAACUUGCUUUCAUUGGAUGGAUUAGAUAACGAAGUCAAAGUAGAUGGCUUACCAAAUAACUUUAGAGCUCACCCACUUCAGUUGGACUCAUCCAGUGACCCUUCUAACAGCAUGGAUGGCCCAGAUCAUGUAAAAUUUGCUUCAUCAUUACAUGAAACAAAGAAAGCAAAUACUGGAAUUAUUCAUGGUGCAUGUUUAACUCUUACUGAUCAUGAUAGAAUUCGACAGUUUAUACAAGAGUUCACAUUUCGGGGCCUUUUGCCACAUAUAGAAAAAACAAUUCGGCAAUUAAAUGAUCAGCUAAUAUCAAGAAAAGGUUUAAGUCGAUCUCUAUUUUCUGCAACUAAAAAAUGGUUUAGUGGCAGUAAAGUUCCAGAAAAAAGCAUUAACGAACUGAAAAAUACAUCUGGACUGCUGUAUCCACCAGAAGCACCAGAGCUUCAGAUCCGAAAAAUGGCUGACUUAUGCUUUUUGGUGCAGCAUUAUGAUUUGGCUUAUAGUUGCUAUCAUACUGCAAAGAAAGAUUUUCUUAAUGAUCAAGCAAUGCUUUAUGCAGCUGGUGCCUUGGAAAUGGCAGCAGUGUCAGCUUUUCUUCAGCCAGGAGCACCUAGGCCAUAUCCUGCGCAUUACAUGGACACAGCAAUCCAGACAUAUAGAGAUAUCUGCAAGAAUAUGGUAUUGGCUGAGAGAUGUGUAUUGCUUAGUGCUGAAAUCUUAAAAAGCCAAAGCAAAUAUUCAGAGGCUGCAGCUCUCCUAAUACGGUUGACUAGUGAGGAUUCUGAUCUUCGAAGUGCACUUCUUUUGGAGCAGGCGGCACAUUGCUUUAUAAACAUGAAGAGUCCCAUGGUUAGAAAAUAUGCAUUUCAUAUGAUACUGGCAGGCCAUCGGUUUAGUAAAGCUGGGCAGAAAAAGCAUGCUUUGCGCUGUUAUUGUCAAGCCAUGCAAGUUUACAAGGGAAAAGGCUGGUCUCUUGCAGAGGAUCAUAUUAACUUCACUAUUGGCCGCCAGUCGUAUACCCUUAGGCAACUGGACAAUGCUGUGUCUGCUUUUAGGCAUAUUUUAAUCAAUGAAAGCAAACAGUCUGCUGCUCAACAAGGGGCCUUCCUCAGAGAGUAUCUUUAUGUUUACAAGAAUGUAAGUCAGCUAUCACCAGAUGGUCCUUUACCACAGCUACCUUUACCAUAUAUUAACAGUUCAGCAACACGGGUUUUCUUUGGCCAUGACAGACGACCAGCAGAUGGUGAAAAGCAAGCAGCCACUCAUGUAAGUCUUGAUCAGGAGUAUGAUUCUGAGUCCUCUCAGCAGUGGCGAGAACUUGAAGAACAGGUUGUAGCUGUGGUCAACAGAGGAGUAAUUCCAACCAAUUUCUACCCCACACAAUACUGUUUGAAUAGUUACUCGGAUAACUCAAGAUUUCCACUGGCAGUUGUAGAAGAACCAAUAACAGUGGAAGUGGCUUUUAGAAAUCCUUUGAAGGUUCCACUUUUGUUGACUGAUUUGUCAUUGCUCUGGAAGUUUCAACCCAAAGAUAGUAGUGGAAAGGAUAAUGAAGAAGUUAAAGAACUAGUAACAGGUGAACCUGUAAUGAUUGGAACUGAAGUUAUUUCAGAAUUUUUAAUUAAUAGUGAAGAAUCUAAAGUGGCAAGACUAAAGCUCUUUCCCCAUCACAUAGGGGAGCUGCAUAUUCUGGGAGUUGUUUAUAAUCUUGGCACCAUUCAGGGCUGCAUGACAGUAGAUGGCAUUGGUGCUCUUCCUGGAUGUCACACAGGAAAACAUUCCUUGAGUAUGUCAGUCCGAGGGAGACAGGAUUUAGAAAUUCAAGGUCCUCGACUUAACAAUACGAAAGAAGAGAAAACAUCUAUUAAAUAUGGUCCUGAUCGACGUUUAGAUCCCAUUAUCACAGAGGAAAUGCCGCUAUUGGAGGUAUUCUUUAUACAUUUUCCUACAGGGCUCCUCUGUGGAGAAAUCCGAAAAGCCUAUGUAGAAUUUGUCAAUGUCAGCAAAUGCCCUCUUACUGGAUUGAAGGUUGUUUCUAAACGUCCAGAGUUCUUUACUUUUGGUGGUAACACAGCUGCUCUAACACCACUAAGUCCCUCAGCUUCUGAGAACUGUAGUGCUUACAAGACUGUUGUGACAGAUUCUACCUCUGUGUGUACAGCACUCGUAUCAUCAGCUUCCUCUGUAGACUUUGGCAUUGGCAUAGGGAGUCAGCCAGAGGUGAUUCCUGUUCCCCUUCCUGACGCUGUUCUUCUACCUGGAGCUUCAGUUCAGCUACCCAUGUGGUUACGUGGGCCAGAUGAAGAAGGUGUCCAUGAAAUUAACUUUUUGUUUUACUAUGAAAGUGUUCAAAAGCAGCCUAAAAUACGGCACAGAAUAUUAAGACACACUGCAGUUAUUUGUACCAGCCGAUCUUUGAAUGUACGAGCCACUGUCUGCAGAAGUAAUUCUCUUGAAGAUGAGGAGGGCCGAGGGGGCAAUAUGCUAGUCUUUGUGGAUGUGGAAAAUACCAACACUAGUGAAGCAGGUGUUAAGGAAUUCCAUAUAGUACAAGUAUCAAGUAGUAGCAAACACUGGAAGUUACAGAAAUCUGUAAAUCUCUCUGAAAACAAAGAUGCCAAACUUGCUAGUAGAGAGAAGGGAAAAUUUUGCUUCAAGGCAGUACGAUGUAGGGAAAAAGAAGUUGCCACACAGUUCUCAGAAAAAUAUAUCUUUGCAGAUAUCAUCUUUGGAAAUGAACAGAUAAUAAGCUCAGCAAGUCCAUGUGCAGACUUCUUUUAUCGAAGUUUAUCUUCUGAAUUGAAGAAACCACAAGCCCAGCCAUCUGUGCAUGCAGAAAAACAGUCAGUAGAGGAUGCUGUGAGAUUAAUUCAGAAGUGCAGUGAGGUGGAUUUGAAUAUUGUCGUAUUAUGGAAGGCUUAUGUAGUGGAAGAUAGUAAGCAGCUUAUUUUGGAAGGUCAGCAUCAUGUUAUUCUUCACACUAUAGGAAAAGAAGCCUUUUCAUGUCCUCAGAAACAGAAUUCAUAGUUGCAAAAAGAUAAUUUGCUUGAGAAGAAGGGAAACAUGCUGAUACUACUGCAGAACUCCAGGGAGGGCAAAACAUAAAUGUAAAGGAUGCCCCGAGGAGUGGUGCAGCAGCUGGUAAUAGUGUUUAAUACAGUGAUUUCUGAUUUCUCAUGAGAUACUAUUUCAUUUUACCAAAAAGUUCUCAUAGUAUAUAUGAACAAACUUUAAGCACAUCCAGUAAUUUGAACAGUGACCUCAUAUUGUAUUUAUGAGUUUUGGAUCUCAAUUUCAAGCUUUCUCAUUAUUUUGAAAACUUUUAUUUUGAAAUAAUUUUCAAACUUGCAGGAAGGCUGCAAGAGUAGUAUAAAGGACUCUUCUGCUUUUCACUGCGGUUCAUCAGUGGUUAGCAUUUUACCUUCUUGGCUUUAUCAUUUUUUCUCUAUUUACGUACACACUGAUUUUUCUUUUUCUUAAUCAUCCCCAAGUAAUUACUCCCAAGUAAAUUGCAGACAUCCUUCUUUACCCCUGUUUACUUCACUGAGUAUUCUGAAAAAUAAGGAUAAUUCUUACAUAAUCACAGACACUAUUAUUAAAUUCAGGAAGUUUGCACUCAUAUGUAGUCCAUAUUCAGAUAUCAUAUAUAUGCUUGACAAUUUUUUUUUCCUACCCAUGAUCCAGUGCAGGAUCAUGUAUUAACAUUUACUUAUCAUAUCUCUUUAGUCUCCUUUAAUCUGGGACAGUUUCUGAGCCUUGAUCUGUCAUUUUGUCAUUGACGUUUUGAAGAGCAUGGGCUAUUUAUUUUAAUAUUAGAAUAAUGACUUUUUGAGUUUUUCUUGUGUUUCCUCAUGAUUAGAUUAAGAUUAUACAUUUUUGGGCAGGAAUACUACAGAAUUGAUGUUAUGUCCUUGUCAGUGUAUUAUAUCAAAAAGCGCCUGCUAUUAAUUUGUUUCGUUAUCAGUGAUGGAUCAUUUGAUGAAGGUGGUAUCCCCAUAUUUUUCUGCAGUAUAGUUACUGUUUUUCCUUUCCUUUUCUAAUAAGUAAUUUGUGGGGAGAUAAUUUGGACCUUUGUAAAUGUCUGGUUUCCUAUCAAACGUAGGUCCACUAGUUUUAGCAUCCAUUGGCAGUUCUCCAACUUGAAUCAGUUUUUACUUCAGUGGUUACAAAUGGUAAUAUGACAUUAGUUUUAAUGAAGAUAUAAAAUUUAACCCCAAAUCUAUUUCUUAAAUAAAAAAUUAUUUCUUCACCUUUGAUUAAUACAGAAGUCUCAAGUUUUAGUCAUAUAUGUAUGUUACAUAACUUAUGAUAAUUUGUAACAUCUUAAACAUUGGCAGAGUUAGCAUUUAGAAAAUGAAAAAGUGAUUUCUAUAAAAUGUAUUCUUGUUAUAUUGUCAUUUUAUAUACCAUGAAUGGCAUGUCAUUUCUCUGUAUUUCACCUUUGAAAUAUUUUUUAUUCUCUUUAUAUGAUUAACUGAGCUUGGGAGAUAAAGCAGUUUCAUAAUACUGUGAAUAAUAAAUUUGGAGCCCAAAGACUUUCAGAUUGAUGACCAAAUUACUUACAUAACUUACUACUCACUUAUAAGACAAAGAUAAUAGUUCUUUACUCCUUGCCUGUCUUGUGGUGGAACUGUCAUAAGGAGCCACCAGAAAUGGAACUAUUAAAAUUUUUCAGGCCAGAAAACACUACAGUUCCUUUAAGACCAUCAGUAGAGCAGCUUUCUA